UUUUUGAUAAAACAUGUUACAACGAUGAAAUAGAUUAAGAUGUCAAAGUUUAUGGUGACAAAAUAUUUUUUAAAAAGAGGGUAAAUAAGUUUAAGAUGAAUGUACGAGAUCAAAAGGUUAUCAGAGUAUGAACUUGUAUCUAUGAAACAACUUAACUUAAUAAAAUACAUAUCAAAUUCAAAAAGAGACAUUGACAAAUAAUAUAUCAUCGAUGUAACACAUCAACAACCACUACCACAAUACCAAAAACCCUGCUAAUUCUAAUAAGCAAUCUUUGUUACUCGAGAAAGUGAUAUAUACAUAUAUACAAUGAAAACCACUCUACGUAAUUAAUUUUUUGCCAUAACAAUAUAAAAAGAUUGUUGCAUACGUUUCUAUCAGUUUUUAUUUCACAUUUAAUCAUAUAUGAAGAACGGUAAUUAUACAAAUAGAGAAAUCAUAUUUAGAUAGAUAGGAGAAAGCUAAAUAGAUAAGGACUAUAAAGUAUAUACAUCAUAUAAUCUAACUAUUAUUACAAGUUAUAUCUCAAUAUCAAUAUGUUCUUCACCAUCGUUUGAUAGUGCAGUUCCGAAACAGUAAACCAUCGGCUGGCGGACUGGUCAACUGAAGCUGAUAACUCCCUUUUAGCCAAUAUGAAUAGUAAAUAAACCCAAGAACCACUUUCACUUUGAAUUUACAUAAUAACUUAAUAAAAGAAAA
rnacentral:sRNA from 1 species